AUAUAACACUUCUCCCUUUUUCUCCAAUUCCCUGCUCUGCUCGCACCAAAUUCGUCCCCAAUUUUUAGGGCUAUCACGUCAAAUUCGCCGCUUCCACUUAUCUUUUUCUUAGUUUCUCUUUGAUAGUGAGGGAUUGCAAAUUUGCUGAGAUGAUUUCUACUAUUCCUAAAUGCCAAACCCUUGUUAACUUUUCCCGUCUCAGAAGAUAGACAGGAAGCAACAAGACUUGACAUGCUUACUCUCUUGCAACGGGUGAAAGCUCAGAGAUCAACAAACGAAAAAUGAAGGGGUUUGCUUUUGCUUUGAAUUUGUUGGAGGAGUCAAAGAACGUUAUAGAUUCAAAUUUCAAGGGUGGACCAAUAUCAUAUGCAUAUCUACACACAUUUGCUGGUUCAGGUUCUCAGCAUCCAGAUAAUGCUUGGAUCGAUUCUUGAUCUCCAUUUCAACAAAAUCAGUGGUUCAGGCCAUUGAAAAGAUUCAAGUACACCUUCGAGAAGCUUGGAAAAGAUUCUCCAUGUUUUUGGUAAUUCCUCCUGUUUGAGGAUAAAUCCCACUAUUGUAUCCAAGUAUUGAAUAUGUCUAAGACAAUGUCUUAUUUUUUACUUGGGACUUUAUUGCAAGUUCUAUAUGAGACAUAUUGUAAUAAUGUAAGGGCUAUGUCCCAAACUUUGUAUCCCGAUAUUAGAUGGUUAUAUAUGAAACA